rnacentral:rRNA from 1 species
CACGCCGUAAACGAUGGAUACUAGCUGUUGGGGGCAACUUCAGUGGCUAAGCGAAAGUGAUAAGUAUCCCACCUGGGGAGUACGUUCGCAAGAAUGAAACUCAAAGGAAUUGACGGGGGCCCGCACAAGCGGUGGAGCAUGUGGUUUAAUUCGAUGAUACGCGAGGAACCUUACCAAGGCUUAAAUGUAGUUUGACCGAUUUGGAAACAGAUCUUUCGCAAGACAAAUUACAAGGUGC